rnacentral:rRNA from 1 species
UAGGGAAUCUUCCNCAAUGGACGCAAGUCUGAUGGAGCAACGCCGCGUGAGUGAAGAAGGUUUUCGGACCGUAAAGCUCUGUUGUUGGUGAAGAAGGAUAGAGGUAGUAACUGGCCUUUAUUUGACGGUAAUCAACCAGAAAGUCACGGCUAACUACGUGCCAGCAGCCGCGGUAAAUACGUAGGUGGCAAGCGUUGUCCGGAUUUAUUGGGCGUAAAGCGAGCGCAGGCGGAAGAAUAAGUCUGAUGUGAAAGCCCUCGGCUUAACCGAGGAAUUGCAUCGGAAACUG